rnacentral:rRNA from 1 species
GAUGAACGCUGGCAGCGUGCCUAAUACAUGCAAGUCGAGCGAACAGACGAGGAGCUUGCUCCUCUGACGUUAGCGGCGGACGGGUGAGUAACACGUGGAUAACCUACCUAUAAGACUGGGAUAACUUCGGGAAACCGGAGCUAAUACCGGAUAAUAUAUUGAACCGCAUGGUUCAAUAGUGAAAGACGGUUUUGCUGUCACUUAUAGAUGGAUCCGCGCCGCAUUAGCUAGUUGGUAAGGUAACGGCUUUCCAAGGCAACGAUGCGUAGCCGACCUGAGAGGGUGAUCGGCCACACUGGAACUGAGACACGGUCCAGACUCCUACGGGAGGCAGCAGUAGGGAAUCUUCCGCAAUGGGCGAAAGCCUGACGGAGCAACGCCGCGUGAGUGAUGAAGGUCUUCGGAUCGUAAAACUCUGUUAUUAGGGAAGAACAAAUGUGUAAGUAACUAUGCACGUCUUGACGGUACCUAAUCAGAAAGCCACGGCUAACUACGUG